GCCUGAAAGAUUGCUAUCGUGAGCAAACCCCGAUAUGUGCAUUGUGGUGUGUAAGGGAUUCUUUACCUAUCUUCUUGUGAUAGUUUAUAAUGCCGACGACGUUAUAUGUGCGUGCCAGAAGUCUGGUUGAACGAUCCAGGGCAGACAUACUGGGGCAAUCAAGCAUUCUUAUACCAAUCCGUCCAAUUCUUACUACAAGGAAAACGGAAAAAAAAGAAAAAAAAUCAAAAACACAAAGUAUAUUGAAACAAUCUAUUUGACUGGCUGCCCCCUACCAAAGUAGUAAGAAGCCAUACUUUUUUUUUUGCGAGGAACAGUAGAUUCACAAGAUCAACAAACAACAGUGGGAUAGCGGCAACAACAGUGAGUCUAGACUUUGAAAAUGAGGAAAAUAAUCUUAGCAGCUCCAUUUACUCAAAUUUGGUCACAUAAUGCUAAUAAUCCAAUCAGCUAGAAAAGAAGGAGUCAAAAUUGUACUGGAAUAACUGGC
rnacentral:sRNA from 1 species